rnacentral:rRNA from 1 species
AUCCUGGCUCAGGAUGAACGCUGGCGGUGUGCCUUAAGCAUGCAAGUCGAACGAGAAUCUAGCUUCGGCUAGAAGAAAGUGGCGGACGGGUGAGUAACGCGUAGGAAUCUACCUUUUAGUGGGGAAUAGCCUCGGGAAACCGGGAUUAAUACCGCAUGUGAUCGCAAGAUCAAAGCCUUUGGGCGCUAAGAGAGGAGCCUGCGUCCUAUCAGGUAGUUGGUGAGGUAAUGGCUCACCAAGCCAAUGACGGGUAGCCGGUGUGAGAGCACGACCGGCCACAAGGUCACUGAGACACGGGACCUACACCUACGGGUGGCAGCAACUGGGAAUAUUGCGCAAUGGGCGAAAGCCUGACGCAGUGACACCGCGUGUGGGAUGAAGCUCCUCGGAGUGUAAACCACUGUGGCAAGGGAAUAAUUUUGACUGUACCUUGCUAGAAAGCACCUGCUAACUACGUGCCAGAAGCCUCGGUAAUACGUAGGGUGCAAGCGUUAUCCGGAUUUAUUGGGCGUAAAGGGUUCCGUCGGCGGUUUGCCAAGUUUCAUCUUUAAUACUGGGGCUUAACUCCAGAUACAGGGUGGAAAACUGACAGACUUGAGUUUGUUCGGGGUAACUGGAACUCUCGGUGUAGGGGUGAAAUCCGUAGAUAUCGAGAGGAACGCCAAUCGCGAAGGCAGGUUACUAGGACAAUACUGACGCUCAUGGACGAAAGCUUGGGUAGCAAAAGGGAUUAGAGACCCCUGUAGUCCAAGCCGUAAACGAUGCUCGC